rnacentral:rRNA from 1 species
UGUGAUAAUCUCAGUUACUUGGAUAACUGCGGUAAUUCUGGAGCUAAUACAUGCGCACAAGCCCCGACUUACGUAGGGGUGCUUUUAUUAGAUCAAAACCAAACGGCUCACGCCGUCUUUCUGGUGAUUCUGAAUAACUUUGGGCUGAUCGCAUGGCCUCGCGCCGGCGACGUAUCCUUCCAAGGUGUGCCCUAUCAACUGUCGACUGUGGCAUAGACGCCCACAGUGGUUUUGACGGGUAACGGGGAAUUAGGGUUCGAUUCCGGAGAGGGAGCCUGAAAAACGGCUACCACUUCUACGGAAGGCAGCAGGCACGCAAAUUACCCACUGGUCGAAGACCGAGGUAGUGACGAAAAAUAACGAUACCGGACUCAUCCGAGGCCCGGUAAUCGGAAUGAGAACACUUUAAAUCCUUUACCGAGGAACAAUUGGAGGGCAAGUCUGGU